UUUUGGUACAAAAAAUUCACUAACUCCAUCUACCUUCAAAUUAUUGAUAUUUCCUUUUAGAGCAAUUCACAUAAAUAGUUGAUAUUUAGUGGAUUUAGUUCUCAACAAAAAUAGUUGCUAAUUAUUUUGGUUUAAUUUUUUAAACCCCAAAUGAAGAUUAGCAGUACUAAUUAUUUCAGUUGCUUAUUUUUUAUGUGUUUACUACUAUUUGUAUUUGUAAAUUCAUUUGAGGAAUAGAAAAAUGUGAAGAAAUCAGAAUUUCCAGAUGGAUUUUUAUUUGGAACUACUACUACAGCUUAUCAAAUUGAAGGGGGAUUUCUUGAAGAUGGAAAAGGGUUGAGUAAUUGGGAUGUUUUUAGUCAUACUAAAGGAAGGAUAAAUAAUGGAGAUACUGGAGAUAUAGCAGAUGAUCAUUACCAUCGAUUUCAGGAAGAUGUUGAGUUAAUGCACUCUAUUGGCUUGAAUUUGUAUCAUUUCUCUAUCUCGUAGAG